GUCGAGCGGUAGCACAGGAGAGCUUGCUCUCUGGGUGACGAGCGGCGGACGGGUGAGUAAUGUCUGGGAAACUGCCCGAUGGAGGGGGAUAACCACUGGAAACGGUGGCUAAUACCGCAUAACGUCUACGGACCAAAGAGGGGGACCUUCGGGCCUCUUGCCAUCGGAUGUGCCCAGAUGGGAUUAGCUAGUAGGUGGGGUAACGGCUCACCUAGGCGACGAUCCCUAGCUGGUCUGAGAGGAUGACCAGCCACACUGGAACUGAGACACGGUCCAGACUCCUACGGGAGGCAGCAGUGGGGAAUAUUGCACAAUGGGCGCAAGCCUGAUGCAGCCAUGCCGCGUGUGUGAAGAAGGCCUUCGGGUUGUAAAGCACUUUCAGCGAGGAGGAAGGCCAAUAGCUUAAUACGCUGUUGGAUUGACGUUACUCGCAGAAGAAGCACCGGCUAACUCCGUGCCAGCAGCCGCGGUAAUACGGAGGGUGCAAGCGUUAAUCGGAAUUACUGGGCGUAAAGCGCACGCAGGCGGUUUGUUAAGUCAGAUGUGAAAUCCCCGCGCUUAACGUGGGAACUGCAUUUGAAACUGGCAAGCUAGAGUCUCGUAGAGGGGGGUAGAAUUCCAGGUGUAGCGGUGAAAUGCGUAGAGAUCUGGAGGAAUACCGGUGGCGAAGGCGGCCCCCUGGACGAAGACUGACGCUCAGGUGCGAAAGCGUGGGGAGCAAACAGGAUUAGAUA
rnacentral:rRNA from 1 species